CUAACUCUGUGCCAGCAGCCGCGGUAAUACAGAGGGUGCAAGCGUUAAUCGGAUUUACUGGGCGUAAAGCGCGCGUAGGUGGCUAAUUAAGUCAAAUGUGAAAUCCCCGAGCUUAACUUGGGAAUUGCAUUCGAUACUGGUUAGCUAGAGUAUGGGAGAGGAUGGUAGAAUUCCAGGUGUAGCGGUGAAAUGCGUAGAGAUCUGGAGGAAUACCGAUGGCAAAGGCAGCCA
rnacentral:rRNA from 1 species